AUACUCUGGUUUCUCUUCAAAUUGUAGAAAUCUUUUGUCUUUACUGAAAAUUUCCGUGGAGAUGAGAAAAUUUUAAACCAGGUUUUGAGGCCUUGUUUCAGCAAGGC
rnacentral:snRNA from 1 species